rnacentral:rRNA from 2 species
ACGCUCGCUGUGUGCUAUACAUGCAUGUUGAACGGGAUGUAGCAAUACAUUCAGUAGCGAAUGGGUGAGUAACACGUACCUAACCUACCUUUAAGACUGGGAUAACUAUUGGAAACAAUAGCUAAUACCGGAUAUAGUUAUUUAUCGCAUGAUGAGUAAUAGAAAGGAGCUUCACAGCUUCACUUAAAAAUGGGGGUGCGGAACAUUAGUUAGUUGGUAGGGUAAUGGCCUACCAAGACGAUGAUGUUUAGCCGGGCCGAGAGGCUGUACGGCCACACUGGGACUGAGAUACGGCCCAGACUCCUACGGGAGGCAGCAGUAAGGAAUUUUCCACAAUGAGCGAAAGCUUGAUGGAGCGACACAGCGUGCAGGAUGAAGUUCUUCGGAAUGUAAACUGCUGUUAUAAGGGAAGAAAAAAUAGAAUAGGAAAUGAUUUUAUCUUGACGGUACCUUAUUAGAAAGCGACGGCAAACUAUGUGCCAGCAGCCGCGGUAAUACAUAGGUCGCAAGCGUUAUCCGGAAUUAUUGGGCGUAAAGCGUCCGUAGGUUUUUUGCUAAGUCUGGAGUUAAAUGCUGAAGCUCAACUUCAGUCCGCUUUGGAUACUGGCAAAAUAGAAUUAUAAAGAGGUUAGCGGAAUUCCUAGUGAAGCGGUGGAAUGCGUAGAUAUUAGGAAGAACACCAAUAGGCGAAGGCAGCUAACUGGUUAUAUAUUGACACUAAGGGACGAAAGCGUGGGGAGCAAACAGGACCAGAACCCUGGUAGUCCACGCCGUAAACGAUGAUCAUUAGUUGGUGGAAUAAUUUCACUAACGCAGCUAACGCGUUAAAUGAUCCGCCUGAGUAGUAUGCUCGCAAGAGUGAAACUUAAAGGAAUUGACGGGAACCCGCACAAGCGGUGGAGCAUGUGGUUUAAUUUGAAGCUACGCGUAGAACCUUACCCACUCUUGACAUCUUCUGCAAAGCUAUAGAGAUAUAGUGGAGGUUAACAGAAUGACAGAUGGUGCAUGGUUGUCGUCAGCUCGUGUCGUGAGAUGUUAGGUUAAGUCCUGCAACGAGCGCAACCCUUUUCUUUAGUUACUAAUAUUAAGUUAAGGACUCUAGAGAUACUGCCUGGGUAACCAGGAGGAAGGUGGGGACGACGUCAAAUCAUCAUGCCUCUUACGAGUGGGGCAACACACGUGCUACAAUGGUCGGUACAAAGAGAAGCAAUAUGGUGACAUGGAGCAAAUCUCAAAAAACCGAUCUCAGUUCGGAUUGAAGUCUGCAACUCGACUUCAUGAAGUCGGAAUCGCUAGUAAUCGUAGAUCAGCUACGCUACGGUGAAUACGUUCUCGGGUUUUGUACACACCGCCCGUCACACCAUGGGAGUUGGUAAUGCCCAAAGUCGGUGAGUAACUUCGGAGACCAUGCCUAAAGGCAGACUGAUGACU